CCGUGGCAACAAGGUGUUUUAUUUUAACGGAUCAGCAUCUGAAAGGAUGCAGAGCAACAAGGAGGAAGUUCAGUUUUUCCCCCAACAUUUAAAGAGGAGCUGCUAAAGCAAAGGAGGUGGAUUAGCAGGGUUAGCUACCAGCUGAUGAUGUCAUCACGGACAUCGUUAAGCCAACAGUAAACAAUAUUUAGCUGUUAGCAUGUCAUCAGAGGCCUCUUCGGAAUCGCUGCAAGACUGACUGCUACAGGAAAUCUUUGAAGAUACGUGGAGUGUGAAGCAGAACUCAGAGAUCCAACAGAGUCUCUGCUCUGGUUGCGACUCAGAAACCUUCAGCAGAGCUUCUCUUCUCUUCUCGCAACAAAAUGGGUGAAAAUCAAACAUCCACAGUGGAGGAAAACACCCGUUACCGCGGCAACCACCAGAACAUCAGCUCAUUAGCUCCAAAUGAACAGGAACAGGAAGUGGUUCAGUAACUGAACAGGAAGUGGUUCAGUAACUGAAC